rnacentral:rRNA from 1 species
GACGAACGCUGGCGGCGUGCUUAACACAUGCAAGUCGAACGGAAAGGCCCUGCUUUUGUGGGGUGCUCGAGUGGCGAACGGGUGAGUAACACGUGAGUAACCUGCCCUUGACUUUGGGAUAACUUCAGGAAACUGGGGCUAAUACCGGAUAGGAGCUCCUGCUGCAUGGUGGGGGUUGGAAAGUUUCGGCGGUUGGGGAUGUACUCGCGGCUUAUCAGCUUGUUGGUGGGGUAGUGGCUUACCAAGGCUUUGACGGGUAGCCGGCCUGAGAGGGUGACCGGCCACAUUGGGACUGCGAUACGGCCCAGAAUCCUACGGGAGGCAGCAGUGGGGAAUAUUGCACAAUGGGCGGAAGCCUGAUGCAGAAACGCUGCGUGCGGGAUGACGGCCUUCGGGUUGUAAACCGCUUUCGCCUGUGACGAAGCGUGAGUGACGGUAAUGGGUAAAGAAGCACCGGCUAACUACGUG